UACCGUCGUAGUCUUAACCAUAAACUAUGCCGACUAGGGAUCGGACGGUGUUAUUUCUUGACCCGUUCGGCACCUUACGAGAAAUCAAAGUGCUUGGGCUCCAGGGGGAGUAUGGUCGCAAGGCUGAAACUUAAAGAAAUUGACGGAAGGGCACCACCACCGGGUGGAGCCUNCGGCUUAAUUUGACUCAACACGGGGAAACUCACCAGGUCCAGACACAACGAGGAUUGACAGAUUGAGAGCUCUUUCUUGAUUUUGUGGGUGGUGGUGCAUG
rnacentral:rRNA from 1 species